UACGUAGGUGGCAAGCGUUAUCCGGAUUUAUUGGGCGUAAAGGGAACGCAGGCGGUCUUUUAAGUCUGAUGUGAAAGCCUUCGGCUUAACCGGAGAAUUGCAUCAGAAACUGUUGAACUUGAGUGCAGAAGAGGAGAGUGGAAUUCCAUGUGUAGCGGUGGAAUGCGUAGAUAUAUGGAAGAACGCCAGUGGCGAAGGCGGCUCUCUGGUCUGCAACUGACGCUGAGGCUCGAAAGCAUGGGUAGCGAACAGG
rnacentral:rRNA from 1 species